rnacentral:rRNA from 1 species
GAUGAACGCUGGCGGCGUGCUUAACACAUGCAAGUCGAACGAUGAAGCCCAGCUUGCUGGGUGGCUUAGUGGCGAACGGGUGGGUAACACGUGAGUAACCUGCCCUUAACUCUGGGAUAAGCCUUGGAAACGGGGUCUAUCACCGGAUAGAAGCUUCCACCCCUUGGGGGGUGUUGGAAAUAUUUAUCGUUUUUGGAUGGACACGCGGCCAAUCAGCUUGUUGUCGAGGUAUUGGCUCACCAAGGCGACGGCGGGUAUCGGGCCUGGGAGGGGGGCAGGCCCCGCUGGGACUGAGCUACGGCCCAGACUCCUACGGGAGGCAGCGGUGGGGAAUAUUGCACAAUGGGCGCAAGCCUGAUGCAGCGACGCCGCGUGAGGGAUGACGGCCUUCGGGUUGUAAACCUCUUUCAGUAGGGAAGAAGCGAAAGUGACGGUACCUGCAGAAGAAGCACCGGCUAACUACGUG